rnacentral:lncRNA from 1 species
GGAGGGGCUAUGGGAAGCCUCAGUGGUUAGCUCCUCCCAGCAGAGGGCAUAUCACUCUACUUACUCUCUCUGGCGUGGAGACUCAGAGCUCAGAGCUACAUGGGACCAAAGCCUGGCUGUCUGCCUCACUGUCCGACUCCCACAGCUACCCUAGGGAGAGAGAAGGAGUGAGAUAGAGAAGAGAAUAGAGAGAGAGAGAGGAGUGAAGAGAUACGAGAGCUACACCAACGUUUUUUCUUAUUUUCUUGUAAUAGCUGUUGUGUUGUUGAUGACGAGCGUUUGGCCAGCUCUGGUCUCGGUCUCGGUCUCCGGUCCCAGGAAGAGGCAGGGUCAUUGAAGUGAAAUUGUGUGUCCUGUCCCGUCGCUUGUGCCAGUUUUAUUUUUCCCUCCUGAACACUGGAACCAUACUGGGACAUUAUGACUCUACUGGGCUCUGAACACUCCAUACUGAUACGAAGCAAGUUUAGAUCAGUUCUGCAGUUAAGACUUCAGCAGAGGAGGACUCGAGAGCAGCUUGCAGACCAAGGCAUCAUGCCUCGUGAGUAACACUCUUUUACACACGAAGUCAUGCGCAUGUGUACACACACACACACACACGCACACCACGCAUAAGUGUGUGUGACACCAUGUAUUGCAUUACUAUAGAGAGUGAGAGAGAAAGAGCGAGAGAAAAAG